AACUUCGGGAAACCGGAGCUAAUACCGGAUAAUAUUUUGAACCGCAUGGUUCAAAAGUGAAAGACGGUCUUGCUGUCACUUAUAGAUGGAUCCGCGCUGCAUUAGCUAGUUGGUAAGGUAACGGCUUACCAAGGCAACGAUGCAUAGCCGACCUGAGAGGGUGAUCGGCCACACUGGAACUGAGACACGGUCCAGACUCCUACGGGAGGCAGCAGUAGGGAAUCUUCCGCAAUGGGCGAAAGCCUGACGGAGCAACGCCGCGUGAGUGAUGAAGGUCUUCGGAUCGUAAAACUCUGUUAUUAGGGAAGAACAUAUGUGUAAGUAACUGUGCACAUCUUGACGGUACCUAAUCAGAAAGCCACGGCUAACUACGUGCCAGCAGCCGCGGUAAUACGUAGGUGGCAAGCGUUAUCCGGAAUUAUUGGGCGUAAAGCGCGCGUAGGCGGUUUUUUAAGUCUGAUGUGAAAGCCCACGGCUCAACCGUGGAGGGUCAUUGGAAACUGGAAAACUUGAGUGCAGAAGAGGAAAGUGGAAUUCCAUGUGUAGCGGUGAAAUGCGCAGAGAUAUGGAGGAACACCAGUGGCGAAGGCGACUUUCUGGUCUGUAACUGACGCUGAUGUGCGAAAGCGUGGGGAUCAAACAGGAUUAGAUACCCUGGUAGUCCACGCCGUAAACGAUGAGUGCUAAGUGUUAGGGGGUUUCCGCCCCUUAGUGCUGCAGCUAACGCAUUAAGCACUCCGCCUGGGGAGUACGACCGCAAGGUUGAAACUCAAAGGAAUUGACGGGGACCCGCACAAGCGGUGGAGCAUGUGGUUUAAUUCGAAGCAACGCGAAGAACCUUACCAAAUCUUGACAUCCUUUGACAACUCUAGAGAUAGAGCUUUCCCCUUCGGGGGACAAAGUGACAGGUGGUGCAUGGUUGUCGUCAGCUCGUGUCGUGAGAUGUUGGGUUAAGUCCCGCAACGAGCGCAACCCUUAAGCUUAGUUGCCAUCAUUAAGUUGGGCACUCUAAGUUGACUGCCGGUGACAAACCGGAGGAAGGUGGGGAUGACGUCAAAUCAUCAUGCCCCUUAUGAUUUGGGCUACACACGUGCUACAAUGGACAAUACAAAGGGCAGCGAAACCGCGAGGUCAAGCAAAUCCCAUAAAGUUGUUCUCAGUUCGGAUUGUAGUCUGCAACUCGACUACAUGAAGCUGGAAUCGCUAGUAAUCGUAGAUCAGCAUGCUACGGUGAAUACGUUCCCGGGUCUUGUACACACCGCCCGUCACACCACGAGAGUUUGUAACACCCGAAGCCGGUGGAGUAACCUUUUAGGAGCUAGCCGUCGAAGGUGGGACAAAUGAUUGGGGUGAAGUCGUAACAAGGUAGCCGUAUCGGAAGGUGCGGCUGGAUCACCUCCUUUCUAAGGA
rnacentral:rRNA from 2 species